AGGGGCUUCGGCCCUGAGUAGAGUGGCGAACGGGUGAGUAACACGUGGGUGAUCUACCUUCGAGUGGGGGAUAACGUUCCGAAAGGAGCGCUAAUACCGCAUGACGUUCCGGGUUUGAAGACCUGGCAACCAAAGUCGGGGACCGUAAGGCCUGACGCUUGGAGAGGAGCCCGCGCCUGAUUAGCUAGUUGGUGGGGUAAUGGCUCACCAAGGCGACGAUCAGUAGCCGGCCUGAGAGGGCGGACGGCCACACUGGGACUGAGACACGGCCCAGACUCCUACGGGAGGCAGCAGUGGGGAAUUGUUCGCAAUGGGCGCAAGCCUGACGACGCAACGCCGCGUGGAGGAUGAAGGUCUUCGGAUUGUAAACUCCUGUUGACCGGGAAGAAUGGGUCUCGAGCGAAUAGCUCGAGGCAAUGACGGUACCGGUUGAGGAAGCCACGGCUAACUCUGUGCCAGCAGCCGCGGUAAUACAGAGGUGGCAAGCGUUGUUCGGAAUUACUGGGCGUAAAGGGCGCGUAGGCGGCCCUCUUAGUCGGACGUGAAAUCCCCAGGCUCAACUUGGGAACUGCGUCCGAUACUGGAGGGCUCGAGUGCGGGAGAGGGAUGUGGAAUUCCAGGUGUAGCGGUGAAAUGCGUAGAUAUCUGGAGGAACACCGGUGGCGAAGGCGGCAUCCUGGACCGACACUGACGCUGAUGCGCGAAAGCUAGGGGAGCAAACAGGAUUAGAUACCCUG
rnacentral:rRNA from 1 species